GGUAGCGUGGCCGAGUUGGUCUAAGGCGUUGGAUUUAAGUUCUUUCUUGAUUCCCAAUGGGCGCAAGUCCGCGCGAGUUCGAACCUCGCCGCUACCA
rnacentral:tRNA from 1 species